GGAACGAACGCUGGCGGCGUGGAUUAGGCAUGCAAGUCGAACGAGAAAGGGUUCGCAAGAACCCGAGUAAAGUGGCGAAAGGGCGAGUAGUACCUAGCUAACCUACCCUGAAGAUGGGGAUAACGGUUCUAACCCGGACCGCUAAUACCCAAUGUGUCGGUGGGACCGCAUGGUCUUGCCGGUGAAGGAUAGCCUCUGUUUACAAGCUUUCGCUUCAGGAGGGGGCUCGGACCUAUCAGCUAGUAGGCGGAUAACAGCCCACCUAGGCUGGGACGGGUAGCCGGUCUGAGUAGGAUGGUCGGCCGCACUGGAACUGAGAUACUCGUCAGACCUCCGUACGGGAGCUGC
rnacentral:rRNA from 1 species